AUACUGUUCGUUCGAGGGCGACUAUGGAUACACAUUCAUUUCUAGAAAAUCCUCGGGGGUUGCUUUCGAUAUUACAAAACUAUAUUCUACAAAUAAAUUUGCAAAAAUACGUCUUCUUAUGUCAAACGGAGAGCAGAGAGAAGUCAAAGUUGAGAAUUUGCUAGCCUACCAGCACCAGUCUUCUCUAUCUUUCCAAUCAAAUUCUCAUCAAUUGUCGUGACAAAGGACCAACAACUUCAAAUACACAACUGCAUCCAUUUUUAUUUCUCGGGUUUCUGCCUAAAAGCUUAGUUCAAAACCGUAACAUACAGGGAUACAGAGCUACCGGAAAGGACUUUACAUUCCGAAACUGUGACUCCAACCCAAACAGUUAUAUAACAUUUUUCUUCGAUCCCAAACAUGGCACAUUCGGGAACCAAGGAAGUACGAAUGCUUUUAUGAAUGGAUGGAUCUCCUCUUCAACAGUUAUGGACUAUCCUAAGUAUAUGGGAAAUAGUUUUUACAUGGACUGGGAGAUGCAUAUGGGCGGCUGUGGAGGGUUAAUGACAUCUAAAGUACAAAGCAUUAAAGCUGCUUUAGGUUUACCGUUUGCUAUUCAUAAAGAGUAAGGAUUGUGGAUGACAUUGGUGAGAUGUAGUACUUGGUUGGAUGAGUGGACUAGAAUCUUUGGUGGCAAUCCUCGCAGCUUAGAAUAUAUAAUAAUAAAAGAAUAAUUCGGAGUAUUUUAAAUAUUUAAAAAGCGCCCAA